AGGGGUGUGUGUGUGUGAGAGGGGUGUGUGUGUGUGUGUGUGUGUGUGUGGGGGUAUGUGUGUGAGAGGGGGGUAUGUGUGUGUGUGUGUGUGGUGGGUGGGAGUGUGUGUGUGUCUACUGUGUGGGUCUGUACCUGCUGAAAAGCACCAGCCUAAUUGGACACUUAAUAUUUAUGUUUUUGUGUCAAAUAUGAAGUGUGUUUUUUGUUGUUGAUUUAUUCAAUUAAAUUGCACUGGUCUGUCGGGUUGGGGAGGGGGGGGGGGAAGGGGUGUUGGUGAUCUUUAUCUCACACAAAGCAUAUAGGGCUUUACAGGUUAUAGUACCGUUCAGCCUCGUACGACCAUCCUGAUCUUGUUACUACAUGGACUCAACUUGGGCCUCUUGGGCUGAGGUCCAAUAUUCCUGAAGGGCUUUACUGUCUUUCAUGGUUUUGCUGUAUUCAGAGGGUCUGUUCGGAUUCCCCACAGCGUGUUAAUCCAUCAUCCCAAGUUUCACCAUUUUAAUGUUUAUGACAACAGAUGGAAAGAAGAUAUGGAACGGUUGUGUUUGAGUUUUGGGAAAAAAUCUAUUUGGUUUUCUGUUGGUCGCUGUGGUUAGCGAUGUUGUGUCUUGGGGGGAGGAGGAGAGUGUGCUCAUUCACAAGACGAUUGGUAACACACAACAUUUUGCUCUGAUUUUCUUGCCAGAUUAAGCCCCCUGACUAAGAAGCUUUUAGGAUGGAGAAUUUCCUUUUAGACUUUGUGUGUCUGUGGGAAACUAGCCCAUAUAUAACACGGCUACAUAUAUACAGACUGGCAUGCCACUGUAGAAAGAAACAAACUCCAGAACAGCAUAGUGUUGGCCCCUCACAAGACUCAUAAUUCAAUGUUCCCUUCCCGACAGAUAUUUGUGUAUAGUCUAUUGCCAACCAGGGGAGUAUAACCUUAUUCAUCUAACAUUUUAACAAGCCUGCUUUAAAUAGAAACGCUAUUGAUAUAAUCGUCGCCCGGAAGGUGUCUGGGCCUGUGUUCAGUUCCCCCCCCAGUCCAUAUAGUAGUAUCCAUUAUGAUCUGAAAGGCAAAACUGAUCCUAGAUCAGCACUUCUACUCCGAGACAUAUUGUGAAUACAGGCCCUGAUCUUCAGUUGAUUUUACUGAUGGCCUCCCCGAUCCAAGCAGACUCCCGUCCUUAUUAAAUAUAACACUGUUUUUUUUUUACGUGUAGGGUGCUGUGGCGCUUUAAGUAAACUACUGGAAGAAAAUGCUAUUGUUUGUGUUUUAUGUACUGUGUUAUAAUUCAAAUAUGAUGACAAUUAAAGACUGGUCAGACUGUUU
ensembl:lncRNA